rnacentral:rRNA from 1 species
CGGGACGGGGUGGAGUAAUGUCUGGGAAACUGCCUGAUGGAGGGGGAUAACUACUGGAAACGGUAGCUAAUACCGCAUAACGUCGCAAGACCAAAGAGGGGGACCUCGGGCCUCUUGCCAUCGGAUGUGCCCAGAUGGGAUUAGCUAGUAGGUGGGGUAACGGCUCACCUAGGCGACGAUCCCUAGCUGGUCUGAGAGGAUGACCAGCCACACUGGAACUGAGACACGGUCCAG